ensembl:lncRNA
AUGAUGAUGACGACGAUGACGACGAUGGGCCCUAUCACAAGGGCUCUGUGUGCUCAUAUUGUGAAUUCUGUGAGCACUGUGACAGCUGUGACAAAUGUCCUUGUGAAAAAGAAGACGAAUCUGAACACUGUGAUGACUGCAAGAUGUGCAGUUACUGCCACGUGUGUCCUGCUUGCAGAACUCUUUGCCAGCCCGGUGAGUAAAUGCAGAGCUGCCACAGCGUCACAUCCGUAA